CGAAAGCCUGACGGAGCAACGCCGCGUGAGGGAUGAAGGCCUCUGGGCUGUAAACCUCUUUUCUCAAGGAAGAAGACCUGACGGUACUUGAGGAAUAAGCCACGGCUAAUUCCGUGCCAGCAGCCGCGGUAAUACGGGAGUGGCAAGCGUUAUCCGGAAUUAUUGGGCGUAAAGCGUCCGCAGGCGGCCUGUUAAGUCUGUCGUUAAAGCGUGGAGCUUAACUCCAUUUAAGCGAUGGAAACUAACAGGCUUGAGUGUGGUAGGGGCAGAGGGAAUUCCCGGUGUAGCGGUGAAAUGCGUAGAUAUCGGGAAGAACACCAGUGGCGAAGGCGCUCUGCUGGGCCAUAACUGACGCUCAUGGACGAAAGCCAGGGGAGCG
rnacentral:rRNA from 1 species